rnacentral:rRNA from 1 species
AUUGAACGCUGGCGGCAUGCUUUACACAUGCAAGUCGAACGGCAGCGCGGGCUUCGGCCUGGCGGCGAGUGGCGAACGGGUGAGUAAUGCAUCGGAACGUGCCCAGUAGUGGGGGAUAGCCCGGCGAAAGCCGGAUUAAUACCGCAUACGACCUGAGGGUGAAAGCGGGGGACCGAAAGGCCUCGCGCUAUUGGAGCGGCCGAUGUCGGAUUAGCUAGUUGGUGGGGUAAAGGCUUACCAAGGCGACGAUCCGUAGCUGGUCUGAGAGGACGACCAGCCAAACGGGGACGGGGACACGGCCCAGACUCCUACGGGAGGCAGCAGUGGGGAAUUUUGGACAAGGGGGGCAACCCUGACCCAGCCAUGCCGCGGGGGGGAAGAAGGCCUUCGGGUUGUAACCCGCUUUUGUUCGGGAAGAAAUCCUCUGGGCUAAUACCCCGGGGGGAUGACGGUACCGGAAGAAGAAGCACCGGCUAACUACGU